rnacentral:rRNA from 1 species
UACGAAGGGGGCUAGCGUUGCUCGGAAUUACUGGGCGUAAAGGGCGCGUAGGCGGACAGUUUAGUCAGAGGUGAAAGCCCAGGGCUCAACCUUGGAAUUGCCUUUGAUACUGGCUGUCUUGAGUUCGGGAGAGGUGAGUGGAAUGCCGAGUGUAGAGGUGAAAUUCGUAGAUAUCGGGAGGAACACCAGUGGCGAAGGCGGCGAUCUGGGUCGAUACUGACGCUGAGGCGCGAAAGCUAGGGGAGCAAACGGG